rnacentral:rRNA from 1 species
UACGUAGGUGGCAAGCGUUGUCCGGAUUUACUGGGUGUAAAGGGCGUGUAGCCGGGCUGACAAGUCAGAUGUGAAAUUCCGGGGCUCAACCCCGGACCUGCAUUUGAAACUGUUGGUCUUGAGUAUCGGAGAGGCAGGCGGAAUUCCUAGUGUAGCGGUGAAAUGCGUAGACAUUAGGAGGAACACCAGUGGCGAAGGCGGCCUGCUGGACGACAACUGACGGUGAGGCGCGAAAGCGUGGGGAGCAAACAGG